AGAAAAUAGUUAUGGGGGGGUGGCUGUGGGUCACCCAUGUCCUCAUGGGUCCCAGUGGGUCCCCGUGGGUCUCUAUGGGUCUCAGUGGGUCCCUGUAGGUCUCUAUGGGUCCCCAUGGGUCUCUAUAGGUCUUUAUGCAUCUCUAUGGGUCCCUGUGGGUCCCCGUGGGUUUCUAUGGGUCUCUAUGGGUCUUUAUUCAUCUCUAUGGGUCUUUAUGCAUCUCUAUGGGUCCCCAUGGGUCUCUAUAGGUCUCUAUGCAUCUC
rnacentral:lncRNA from 1 species